CCCAGGUGCAGCUGGUGCAGUCUGGCCAUGAGGUGAAGCAGCCUGGGGCCUCAGUGAAGGUCUCCUGCAAGGCUUCUGGUUACACUUGAACCAGGAAACUUACAAUUAUGGUGGAAGGUGAAGGGGAAGCAAGUCCCUUCUUCACAAGGCAGCAGGAUGGAGAGAGAGAGAGAGAGAGAGAGAGAGAGAGAGAGAGAGAGAGAGAGAGAGAGAGAGAAGGAGUGCAGUGGUGCAGUGAUAUUUCUUAAACCAGUCAGAACAGCUACUAUUAAAGAGCCAAAAAUAACAGGUAUUGGUGAGGAUUGAAGGCAAAAGGAACGCUUGGACACUUGUGGUGAGGAUGUAGAUUAGCUGGGCGUGGUGGUGGGUGCCUGUAAUCGCAGCUAUUCGGGAGGCUGAGGCAGAGAAUUGCUUGAACCUGGGAGGUGAAGGUUGCAGUGAGCCGAGAUCACGCCACUCCCCCCCAGCCCUUUGGGAGGCCGAGGCGGGCAGAUCACCUGAGGUCUGGAGUUCCAC
rnacentral:lncRNA from 1 species